AUUGAACGCUGGCGGCAGGCCUAACACAUGCAAGUCGAGCGGAUGAAGGGAGUUUGUUCUGGUUUGAGGCGGCGGAGGGGGGAAUAAGUCCUAGGACACUCCCGGGACGGGGGGAAUACCGCCGGAAAAGGGCGCCUAUUACCGAGUCCGCCCUGAGGCAAAAGCGGGGGGAUCUUCGUACCUAUGGCAUCCGGAGAAGCCUAGGUGGGAUUAGCUAGUUGGUGGGGUAAAGGCCUACCAAGGGGACGAUCCGUAACUGGUCUGGGAGGAUGAUCAGUCCCACUGGAACUGAGACACGGUCCAGACUCCUACGGGAGGCAGCAGUGGGCAAUCUUGGACAAUGGGCGAAAGCCUGAUCCAGCCAUGCCGCGUGUGUGAAGAAGGUCUUCGGAUUGUAAAGCACGUUAAGUUGGGAGGAAGGGCAGUAAGUUAAUACCUUGCUGUUUUGACGUUACCAACAGAAUAAGCACCGGCUAACUUCGUG
rnacentral:rRNA from 1 species